rnacentral:rRNA from 1 species
CACGUAGGGGCCAAGCGUUGUCCGGAUUCAUUGGGCGUAAAGAGCUCGUAGGCGGUUCAGUUAGUCGGGUGUGAAAUCUCCGGGCUCAACCCGGAGGGGCCACCCGAUACUGCUGUGACUCGAGUCCGGUAGGGGAGUGGGGAAUUCCUGGUGUAGCGGUGAAAUGCGCAGAUAUCAGGAGGAACACCGGUGGCGAAGGCGCCACUCUGGGCCGGUACUGACGCUGAGGAGCGAAAGCGUGGGGAGCGAACAGG